rnacentral:rRNA from 1 species
GAUGAACGCUGGCGGCGUGCCUAACACAUGCAAGUCGAGCGAUUUACUUCGGUAAAGAGCGGCGGACGGGUGAGUAACGCGGGGGUAACCUGCCUCAUACACAUGGAUAACAUACCGAAAGGUAUGCUAAUACAAGAUGAUAUAAGAGAUUCGCAUGGAUUUCUUAUCAAAGCUCCGGCGGUAGGAGAUGGACCCGCGUCUGAUUAGCUAGUUGGUAAGGUGACGGCUUACCAAGGCGACGAUCAGUAGCCGACCUGAGAGGGUGAUCGGCCACAUUGGAACUGAGACACGGUCCAAACUCCUACGGGAGGCAGCAGUGGGGAAUAUUGCACAAUGGGCGAAAGCCUGAUGCAGCAACGCCGCGUGAGCGAUGAAGGCCUUCGGGUCGUAAAGCUCUGUCCUCAAGGAAGAUAAUGACGGUACUUGAGGAGGAAGCCCCGGCUAACUACGUGCCAGCAGCCGCAGUAAUAC